rnacentral:misc_RNA from 1 species
GAUGAAGAACGUAGCGAAAUGCGAUACUUGGUGUGAAUUGCAGGAUCCCGUGAACCAUCGAGUCUUUGAACGCAAGUUGCGCCCGAAGCCAUCAGGUUGAGGGCACGUCUGCCUGGGCGUCACAUAUCGUUGCCCAAUGCCUAUUGCAGUGCAAUAGGAAUUUCUAGGGCGAAUGAUGGCUUCCCGUGAGCGUUGUUGCCUCGCGGUUGGUUGAAAAUCGAGUCCUUGGUAGGGUGUGCCAUGGUAGAUGGUGGUCGAGUUAGAACGAUACCGAUCAUGUGCAUGCUCCCCAAAAUAUGGCCUCUAUGACCCACACGCGUCUUUUGACGCUCAUGACGAGACCUCAGGUCAGGCGGGGCUACCCGCUGAAUUUAAGCAUAUCAAUAAGCGGAGGA